rfam:Rhodococcus erythropolis PR4 DNA, complete genome.
GCAGUACCUCGUUAGGUGAGGCUUCUGCACGAACACAGGCCACUGAUCUCACGACGUCGAGAGACGCCCAAGGUUAGGACAGAUCUCCCCGGCUUAAGGGGUGAUCCAAAGUGGCUUCCCGGUCUUGAUCGGGACACGUCGUGCAGUGCCAAAACUCGGACGUGGAGGUGUUUU